rnacentral:rRNA from 1 species
CCUACGGGGGGCAGCAGUGGGGAAUAUUGCACAAUGGGGGAAACCCUGAUGCAGCGACGCCGCGUGAGUGAAGAAGUAUUUCGGUACGUAAAGCUCUAUCAGCAGGGACGAAAAUGACGGUACCUGACUAAGAAGCCCCGGCUAACUACGUGCCAGCAGCCGCGGUAAUACGUAGGGGGCAAGCGUUAUCCGGAUUUACUGGGUGUAAAGGGGGCGUAGACGGCAGCGCAAGUCUGGAGUGAAAUCCCAUGGCUUAACCAUGGAACUGCUUUGGAAACUGUGCAGCUAGAGUGCAGGAGAGGUAAGCGGAAUUACUAGUGUAGCGGUGAAAUGCGUAGAUAUUAGGAGGAACACCAGUGGCGAAGGCGGCUUGCUGGACGAUGACUGACGUUGAGGCUCGAAAGCGUGGGGAGCAAACAGGAUUAGAUACCCGGGUAUC